CGAUGGACGCUGGCGGCAGGCCUAACACAUGCAAGUCGAGCGGUAGCGAAGGAGCUUGGUCCUUUUUCCCGAGAGGGGGACAGGUGAGUAUUGUGUGGGAAACUGCGUGAGGUGGGGGGAUAUCUCCUGUGAACAGGGUCUCUUACCCCGCAUCGCCUCACGAGACCAAAGGGGGACCUUUUGGCCCCUUUUCCCCUCAUGUGCCCCCAUGGGGUUUUCUCUUAUGUGGGGGGACGGCUCUCCUCUGCGACAAUACCCCUCUGGGGUGAGAGGAUAACACCCCCCACUGUGACUCUGACACGGGCCCCACACCCCCAGGGGGGGCCACUGGGGAAAAUUUUGCACUGGGGGCAAACCUCUUAUGCCCCUGCGCCGCGUGUAAAAAAAACGCUCUCGUUUUAAAAAACUCUCUCCGGGGAGAAGAGGGUUGUGGUUAUUAAACUCUCCGAUUGUGACUUCCCCCACAAAAAACACCCCGUAUCUCUCUGCGCCCACCCCCGGUAAUAUACAGAGGGCGCGCGUUUUUCUCAAUUACUGUGGGUAAACGCACACGCGCGGUCUGUCUCGUGUCAUAUGUAAUCCCCCCGCUCACCUCGGAACUGUGUUCUAAACUGUGGGGGUAUAGUCUUGUGUAGGGGGGUGUAAUCCCCGGGUGUCGCUGAAAUGUGUAUAGAUCUGGGGAAUACCCGGGGGGCAGGGGGCCCCUGUGAAAAAACUGACACUCUCGGGCGAAAAGGGGGGGCACACAGGAUAUAUACCCCGGGAUACCCCACGCUAAAAAAUUUUACAUUGGAUUGUGCCUGAGAGGUUGUUCUCGGAUAUACCGUUAUACACCCCCCGUGGGGACGCCGCCAGGUUUAAAUCAAAGAGUUUCCCG
rnacentral:rRNA from 1 species